AGAGUUUGAUUAUGGCUCAGAACGAACGCUGGCGGCGCGUUUUAAGCAUGCAAGUCGAGCGGCAAGGGUCUUCGGGCCCCUAGAGCGGCGGACGGGUGAGUAACACGUGGACAAUCUGCCCCCCGGCCGGGGAUAGCCCAGGGAAACCUGGAUUAAUACCGGAUGAGACGGGACCCGCGGAGGCGGGAUCCGGGAAAGGCGCUGCGGCGCCGCCGGGGGAUGAGUCUGCGUCCCAUUAGCUUGACGGCGGGGUAACGGCCCACCGUGGCGACGAUGGGUAGCCGGCCUGAGAGGGUGGACGGCCACAUUGGAACUGAGACACGGUCCAGACUCCUACGGGAGGCAGCAGCUAAGAAUCUUCCGCAAUGGGCGAAAGCCUGACGGAGCGACGCCGCGUGAACGAAGAAGGCCGUGAGGUUGUAAAGUUCUUUUCGGGAGGGGGAACAACCGUGGCAGGGAAUGGCCGCGGGAUGACGUGAAUCCCGGAAUAAGCCCCGGCUAACUACGUGCCAGCAGCCGCGGUAACACGUAGGGGGCGAGCGUUGUUCGGAAUCAUUGGGCGUAAAGGGCGUGCAGGCGGUCCUGCAAGUCCGGCGUGAAAGACCCCGGCCCAACCGGGGGGGCGCUCUGGAAACUGCAGGGCUUGAGUACAGGAGGGGAUGCCGGAAUUCCAGGUGUAGGGGUGAAAUCUGUAGAUAUCUGGAGGAACACCAAUGGCGAAGGCAGGCAUCUGGCCAUGUACUGACGCUGAGACGCGAAAGUGCGGGGAGCAAACAGGAUUAGAUACCCUGGUAGUC
rnacentral:rRNA from 1 species